rnacentral:lncRNA from 13 species
CUCCCUCUCAUUCAUUAUAUCCCUUCUUGUCACUUUCCAUUAGCUGAUCAUGACAUCCUUUGCUGGAAGGGCGAGCAAGCAGAUUACUUCCAAACUGGUGACAGAAGAGCUCCUUGGCACUGGACGCCUCCGGGUCUGGUGAGAGAGGAAUGGUUAGGAGACUGUUCUGAGGAUACACAGACAUCAUCCAAAACUUCCUACAUUCAGAUGAAGAGGUUGGACCAGAGCUUUGCAUGCUUGUUACCUAAGGACGGUUCUGAUCAUGCGAGCAAAUCACAGAAGGGUCCCAUGGGAACAGAAAGUUUUGAGGGAGUUUACUGUUUGUGCAAGAUGACUGGUUGGGUAAAGAAGUCCAAAGUUUUUUAUCUGCAGAACAAACAAAGCCUGGGCAAAGGACUUUUUGAUCCUGGAGAAAAGCAGAUGAGGCUCAAGAGAAAGUGUCGUAAAGAUUAA